GAUUUUUCUAAAAUAAAUAGUACAAAGAAGUGUUAAAAUAUUAUAAUUAAUUAUAAAAAGGUUUCUAUGUAAUGCAAAAAUUUAUACGGGCGAUUGUAAUUUUUUUUUUCUUAUUUCUAGAAGUGAUGUAUUAAUUUUUCGAACUACUAAAUGACAGUUUAGAUAUACUAUUGACCAGUGCAUACCUCCCAUCUAUUUUCAGUCCUAGGUACCUACGGCAUCGCAAUCACCGAAAUUAAAAAAUAUUAGGGAUAAUUUCAACAGCCUUAAGUUAAUGUGAAGUGAAACGAAUAAACUGUCGAAAUCAUUUGUUAUGUGAGCUAUGUGUAAACUUAAACUAAGUGUUCAGAAAUAGUUAAUUUCUAAUAAUUUUGUGUAGGAAUAACCAGCUGAUGGCGGGUGAAAAUACGGGAAUGGCUUGGCAGUUUAGUGAACAUACCUAUAAAAGAUUUUUGAAGUGAUUUUUAUUGCCAUAUUUGCAUACUUAGACUAUUCUUAUUCCAAUUAAUUCAAAUUUUACAAAAUAUUCAUCAUAAAAUCAAACGACUUGAUAAUUGGGCGUGCUCUAAAGUAUAAGCACACACCUUGUGGCUUGUCAUUGAUAUUUAGCAAUCAUUCAUAAAUUCUGGACUAUAAAUAUACCCAAAUGAUUCGUUUGAAAUUUUUUAUAAUUUGACAAAAAAUUGAAAUAGUGAAAUGCAGAGUGAUCUUAUACUGACCCAUUUGUAAAUAGUGUUUCAUUGUUAUUUUUGUUAUUGCUGAAGGUUUCUAUAGUCCACAAUGUCGACGACGGCGUUCGUCGAUAGAAUUGAUCCAUUUGCCAAAAGAUCACUCAAGAAGAAGACCAAAAAGUCUCAAGGUAGCUCUAGAUAUCGAAACUCUCAAGAUGUUGAACUUCAACCAUUACCUCUUCUUAAAGAUGUACCAGCGUCUGAACAAGAAGAAUUGUUUAUACGUAAACUUAGACAGUGCUGUGUUGCAUUUGAUUUUAUGGAUCCCGUAGCUGAUUUGAAGGGAAAAGAAGUUAAAAGAUGUACUUUGAAUGAAUUGGUUGAUUACAUAACAGGAGGAAGGGGUGUUCUCACUGAGCCAGUUUAUCCUGAAAUUAUUAAAAUGAUAUCUGCAAAUCUAUUUAGAACGUUACCCCCAAGUGAAAACCCUGAUUUUGACCCAGAAGAAGAUGAUCCUACAUUGGAAGCGAGCUGGCCUCAUCUCCAAUUGGUUUAUGAAUUUUUUCUAAGGUUCUUGGAGAGUUCAGACUUUCAACCGACAAUAGGAAAACGUGUAAUUGAUCAGAAAUUUGUUCUACAACUGCUAGAAUUGUUCGAUUCUGAAGAUCCGAGGGAAAGAGAUUUCCUGAAAACAGUAUUGCACCGUAUUUAUGGGAAAUUUUUAGGUCUACGAGCCUUUAUUCGAAAACAAAUUAAUAACAUUUUUUUGAGGUUUGUGUAUGAGACUGAACAUUUCAAUGGAGUUGGAGAGCUUUUAGAAAUCUUAGGUUCGAUUAUUAAUGGCUUUGCGUUACCGCUUAAAGUUGAACACAAACAGUUCCUGGUGAAGGUACUUAUACCUUUACAUAAGGUUAAGUGCCUGUCGCUGUAUCAUGCGCAGCUAGCCUAUUGUGUUGUUCAGUUCUUAGAGAAAGACCCUACCCUGACUGAACCGGUCGUUAGAGGCCUUCUCAAAUAUUGGCCCAAAACAUGUAGCCAAAAAGAAGUUAUGUUUUUGGGAGAAAUUGAAGAAGUUUUAGAUGUUAUAGAGCCAUCCCAAUUCUUACGUAUUCAAGAGCCAUUGUUUAGGCAAAUUUCUAAGUGUGUUUCAAGUCCUCAUUUCCAGGUGGCAGAACGUGCUUUAUACUUUUGGAACAAUGAAUACAUUAUGUCUUUAAUGGAGGAAAAUAACCAUGUUAUAAUGCCAAUUAUGUUCCCUGCACUCUACCGUAUUUCCAAAGAACAUUGGAAUCAAACUAUAGUCGCGCUUGUAUACAAUGUUCUUAAAACAUUUAUGGAAAUGAAUUCAAAAUUAUUUGAUGAACUUACUGUGAGUUACAAAGCUGAAAGACAAAAAGAAAAGAAACGAGAAAAGGAAAGAGAUGAAUUGUGGAAGAAAUUAGCGGAGCUCGAGAUAUCCCAUAACAAGAAUACAUCUGCACAGCAUAAUAAUAGCCCAUCCAGCAAAAAGUGAUAAUAUAAUAAAUAACAGCCUAAUAUCCCUGCCCCUUGUUAAUGUUUGCUGCAUUGAAGAGUUAUUUCUACAGUUUCACUAUUAAACCGGCUUCAGAAAAAAGGAAUUAAAUUUAAAAUAAAUUUUAUCUGAAAUUGGUUUUCAUCAAAUAUUUAUUAAAAAUGUAAGUGUUGUUGCAAAUCACUAUGUCUAUUAUUUUCUUCAAAUUUGAAAUUUUGUUAACAACUCGAACUCAUCAAGCACGUGUGUUUUAUCAAAAAAUAAAAAUAACUUAUAUGCAGUUUUGUUAGUAUCAAAUCAAUGUACACUUAAUGGGCUGUAAAAAGUAUUGAUAGCUUUUUUGAAAAUGUAGAAAAUUCACUAUUUUAGAGAUUCAUAUAAAAAUUUAAUCGUCUCGUAGAGUGAAUUUCGUAAUUAUUUCUUGUUUUAAAAGAUGCUGUAAUAUGUUUUGCAAUUAUAUUGCACUUGCGGUUAAGAUAUAAUAGUAUUUUCUGUGGUGACGUUCCGAAUUACACCCUCGUCCUCCACCUUCAGUUCACUCGGUGGUUAAAAAAAGGCCAAAAUCAUUAACGUACAUGAAUAUAAACAAAAACAUCAACAUGGAGCCUAUAUUGAAAAGAUGUUGGUACACAGUUAUAGCGUUGCUGUACUUAUCAUCAAAUAAUUAGAUAUAUUUUUUUGAAAAUGAAAAUCGGUGAUUUCAUACCAUAGCGGUCCUCUCGUUUUUCGCUCUAGAUAAUAGAAAAUCAUCCAAUUUUUAUUAUUAUUUAUUUAAUUAUCGUUACACGGCAAAUUUGUAGAAAAAUUACGGGAAUAAAAAAAAGUUUUUAAUGGUCAUGUAAACACAAUCAUAUACGUAUAAUUAUUGAUAACUUUUUUACCAACAAUAUAAAGAAUGCCGUAUAUUUUUUGUUUAAUCUACCCAAAAAACGAAAAAAUUUUAAAAAAUUAUGAUUUUUCAUGUUUAUAUACAUAUUGUACUUUUUCAUCCAAUAAUCAUCAAAAUAAUAUAAUCAAAAUGUUUAUAGAGCAAAAUCUGCUAUAAGGGGUAAUUUUUAUUCAAAACACCAUAAUAAAUAAACGGAGGUAGUUUAAGCAUUAUUUUCAUAUUUCAUUUUUUCUACAUAUACUAUCAAGCAUUUAAUAAAAAAGAACAUGUUUCUAAAAAAAGUAGAUGAAAAUGUAGAAUGGAAGAAAAUUGUACUACUCCAUAUUUGGGAUAAAUGUUAUUCUAAUAUGAGGUACCUAAUUUAAUUUGUAACUUGAAAUAAGUAUAUAACUAAAAAUUAUUUUGUAUUAUUUAGAAAUAUUUAUGGAAAUGAAAAAAGUUUACCGAAAAAAAGUUAUGCAUAUAAACAUAAAGAAACAUGUUUCUGAAAAAAGCAAAAGAAAAUAUACAGAAUUAAAAAAGGACACUACUCUAUAUUUGGGACAUAUGUUAUCCUAAAAUGAGGUACCCAAUUUAAUUUUGGUAAUAAGUAUAUAAGUAAGAAUUAUUUUGUACUUUUUAAAAAUAUUUAUUUAUGGAAAUGAAAAAAGGUAACCUAAAAAAGUUAUACAUAUAAACAUAAAGAAAUUAUAUAGAAAGUAGAACAAGUUAUUCAAAAUUCAGAAAUAUACCCAUUUCUUUUCCAACUAGCACAAUCAACAUAAGCACUUUGGAGCAGUUCUGACGCAUUAUCCAUUCUUCGCCACUCACAUCUUCAGAGUACGGAAUUUCGCAGAAAAAACAAACAGCAUCUUCAAAGCUUUCUACCUGGUCCACUGAAUUUUUAUACUCCAAUAGGUUUUAUUUUUUUCUACUGAUUUGGUUUUGAACAAUUAUCUUCCUAGUUAUAACAGUAAAUUUUCACUUCUUGAAUCCUCUUUAAUAAUAUUUUUGAAGCAGUUAGAACAGGCAUCAAGUUUACAGGUGUUCUCUAGGGUAACCUGUCUUCCAGUGGUUUGCUUGUCCUUCAGAGGUUUUUUCCUUUUGGUUCGCUGUUAUCUGAUUGUUUAUCCUCUACUUUUUCUUCAUUCACUGUUUCUACUCUUUCUUCAUUUUGUUUCUUGCAUUUCUGCAACAAAAUCUUAUUCUUUGAAUGCGUUUCUAUCAUGAGGAAACAUUCCGGAUCUUUAAACCCGUUUAUACUGAUAAAUUUUCACAUGAGGUUUCCCAUUUCUUUUAAUUCGCCGUAAAAACAAAAGUUGAAUUAAUUCAUUGAAAUUGAAUGCCUUUUCGACUCUCUAAGAGCCUCAAAAACGAUAGUAUAAAUUAUCUGAAAAUGAAAAUAUUUGUAAAUGAGGUAAAGUUAAUUAUUAAUUAAUAUUAAAAGUUAAUUAGUAGUUAAAUAUAAUAUUUGGCAGAAGUAAUUCACACUGUAUGACCAAAAUAAAAAUUUUCAUGUUUCACAUUGUAGUUAUAACUACAGUACAAUAUAAACAUUCAUAGGUGUUUCAAAUGAAUAUUUAUAAGUUUCAUAAAGAAAAACGUUUUCUUUAGGUAUAAAUUCAAAAUGGAAAAAUUGCAACGUGUUUCGCUAUUCAUAUAAUUCGUGGAUGUGUCGCCUAGUCAAAACUAAACAGUUUUUUUGAAAAUUCAAGAUAUUGAUUAAAUUCGAUCUUAAAACUUAGAACAAAAUAAUUUGUGCUAAUAUGGAAUAAUCAAACAAAUUAAUUUAUCGAGGAAUGUUUAAACAAAGCUUGUGUGACCAUCAUUUGCACGUUUUACAGCAGGACAUUUUGGCAUACUUUUAACCAAGUUGUCCAAUAAAUUUCGUGCGAUUUUUGCUGUGAAGUUGUGAAGAGGAUUUCAAAGUUUUUUCUUAUAGUUUCUGCUCGCGGAUUGUGGUCGUCUAUGGCUUUUUCAAACUGAUCCCAAGCAUAUUCCAUGGGUUUCAGAUUAGGCAACUUUGAUUUUCUAUUCUAAAACGACCGCAGGUCGAUGUGGUUUCGCAUUAUCAUUGAUAAAAGUGAACCGAGGGCCUUUAUCAGCAUAAAAUUGAUCUCUUUAUACUUGUCAUGUUUUCAUCCGUCCACUGAAAACAUUACUUGUCCAGACCAUAAUUGAACUUCCUCGAAAAGGGUGAAUAUCAAAGCCGUUGAUGGCGUCAAUGGAUUAAUCUAUAUUCGUUUUCGUGUACUAUCUGAAAAUAAUCCAUAAAAAGAUUCUGUAAAGAUCGCGAUCCCAAAUUCAUUACAUCAUGUUGGUGUUAUAAUGUUCAAGCUAAUCUUUGUUACCUACAGGUGCCUACAGGUGUCAAUAGUACUCUGUCAGAAUCUUGAAUUGGCAGAUUUUUCUUAUUCUUGAGAACGAUUCAGAAACACUUCUAGCAUAGUUCCUAGUAACGUUGUAGGCGGCCAAGUGAUUGAAGACUUAGUUGAUAUUGUCAAAGGCCGAUGUCGAUCAGGCGCUUUGGCUUGAAUCAACACUUUUAGCUACACCAAGAAUGAAUUCUGGUCCCAUUGGUGAGAUGUAAGUCCUCUUCAUCGUUCUCCUCAUAUCUAGCAUUAAAAAGUUUUAUACGAAUCGUAAGUCCCAGAUGACAAUUAUCAAUGGCAGUUGUUACUCUGGAUCUUACACAUUUCUUUCGACAACGGGUUCAGUUUUAAGCAUCUUCAAAAUACAUUGAGCCCGCUUCGAGUAAUCCAAUAGCUCGAGAUUCUUCGAUAGUUAAUUUUUUUGCCAUUACUAAAAUUAGUUGUUUGAAAAAUUUUAUACAGCCGUUCAAUAUUUCAAUACAAAGAAAUAUAAUUCUAAAUUCAGAUUUUUUAUCAUAGAUUCUAAAAAUGAAAUAAAAAAAUUAUCACAAAGCAACACGAAAAUAAAAUUAAUAAUAACAAAUUUCACUAAAUAAUUUAAAAUAGGUCGAUUUAAACCCUUUACCUUCAACUUUUGAAUAUGUUUCAAAUACUGUCAUGACGUUGGCUUUUAUUUAUUUUUUUUUUUUUUGGUUCAAAGGAGGAUCUAUAAAGGUCUAUAUUGUACAGCUCAAAGAAUGAAUUGCUCAGAUUUAAAUUUCCUUUUUGUUUCUUGAAAAUUUUGGGAUAAAUAUUUUUAUUAAAGUAGCCUUAUGCAUUAACUGUGAGAUAAAGGAGGUGGACGAGUGUAUUAAAUAUUAGGGCCUUGCUGUGGAAAGUAUAUUAUUUAAUUGUUGAUAACAAAUAACGAACGUUUAUUAAGAUAGAUUCAAAUAUUUAGCAAUUAAAUUUAAAAAUAAGAUACUGCACGAUAUUUUGUAACGUAAGUCAUUUGUAAAAAGUCGUACACUCAAUGUUACAAGGAUUGUUCAAUUAAAACACACAUUUACUAUGAAUUUAUUCUAAUUGGUUACGGAACAUAAAUACCUAUAGGAUCUGUCUCCAGCUAAAAUCCCUUAUAAUAAACGUAAAUCUGGACAACGCCGACUGAAAUAAAUUUCUUGGUAACAAACUAGUUCUCCUUUUCUAUUCCACCCUAUUUUAUCAAGUGAUAACAGAAGGACUUUUAUUUUUCCGAUAAAUUUCUUUUUAAAUGACAACAAUUCACCAACUCAUUAAUUUUAUGCAAAAUCAUGUAGAGCAAUUCUGUCAAAUGUUAGUUUUUCGUUUUAAAUUAUUGAAAAAUUUUGAGUUGGAAAUUCAUUCUUAAUAGAAUGGCUCAAGUAUUUUUGACAAAUGAAUUAACGAUCAAAUGUGAGUACAAUAAAGGACUAAGCCCAAUAUAUUGAAGCAUCAAAAAAUGGGUAAAAAAAUGGCGAAAAUUUGUUAACUUAUUCUCGGUUCUAUCGAUAUCUGAUGUUCAUAAUAUAUUAAGAAGCAUUUAUAUGUUCUUACAAAUGUUUCACAAAGUGUCAACGGGAGAUUUAAUUUCGUUUUAUGAAUGUGGUUUGGUCCAAUUUAUAAUUGUAGAUUUUUACACUGCCAAGCAUAAUUAGGAUCACCCCACCCCGUAAGAGAAAUUUUUAUGUUUUCUCGGAUCUUUUUCGGUUGUAACAUAGUUUGCUAAAGGUCUGCUCUAAUGAAAAAGUAGUUUCUGUUGUUGAAAGUUAUGAACAUGAAUAAUUUCAAUUUAUACUAAGUAAUGACAAUGAAUAAAAUCACUUUGCUAUGGUUUUCGUUGAAACAAAAUAAAUUUUAAGGCAUUCAGUAGCUGGUAUUCCCUCCUCGAUAGUGAUAACAUCUUGCAAACGCGAGGCAUGCUUUUGAUCAGAUUUUAUGUAAAGUUCUGCGGAAGACUGUCCCAUUCCUGUACCCGUAUGUCGCGAAGCUCUCUAGAAUUUCUGGGAUCGGCACAUGUCUCUGUAAAGGUCUCCCCAUUUCCCCACAAGUGUUCAAUGGGAUUUAAGUUUGGAGUGUGAGCAGGAAACUCCGCAUUUUUGGAGGUUCGGACAUGGUAUUCCUUCUUCACAUUCGGCUAAUGCAGGGUACAUGCUACUGCGUGAAAUAUUUUGAUUUUGAAAAAUGGAAACUAUGUCAGACUUAGGGAUCUGUCCAACCAAAUUAUGAAUGCUUCAUUUUAUUUCCAACUUGUAAGACAUUAAUGCAACUGAUAUAAAAAAGGACUUGUCUACGUUAGUAAGUGCCCCUCGUAAAACCUAUGUCAAAAAGACUAUGUGAUUUUAGCCAAUUAGAGUUAUGAUUCAGUGUGGAAUAAGUUUUAAAAGUAACAGUAGAGCCUGGAUUAUAAACCACAAUCUAAAGAUCAAAGCGAACUAUCAACAAUAGGUGUAUCGUGCGAUACCGAAUAUCACAGAGCAUAAUAAUGUCAAAUUAAACGUUCAUUAAUUGUUCGUGGAUAAAUGUUCGAAAUGUGUUCAAUUAAACCACCUCGAAGAAAGAUAAGUCAGAUCCUAAGAAUGUAAAUACUUUAUUUCGACCUGAUUAUUUAGAAGAGUAGUUAUGUUCCAAUAUUUACCUCGAUUCCUUCAUAAUUGAGUGCUUUAGAAUAAGAGGUGUAUAGGUGCAAUUUUGACUACUUUCAGAUAUUUGCAGUGCUUGAAUGGUUAUUUGAAAAAGUUUAUGAAAAAUUUGUCAAAACUCUAAAAAAGUAUUUAUCCCCUUUCUAUUCCAACUUUUUAUUUAAAAAAACUCGGAAUAAAAUUAUGAUUUUAUUUUGGGGAAAAAAACAAACUUAUAAACAUUAUUCGACAACGGAAUAUAAAAUGAAGUCCAUUUCAUGUGCUGCAUUUUAUUCUUCGAAUUAAUUUUGAUUUUUGUUUCUUCUCUUAUCUUUUAUCUCGUAUUGAAUGUUGUAAUAUUCGUGAUAUAUUGGAGGAAGUGUUUGCAACUUUUCCCACUUUAGCUCAUUUAUUUUUUGAACAAUCAUUGUUUAACUGCAAAACUUGUCUGUGGCUUUAGAAAAAUAGACGCAUUUGCUAAAAGGAGAUUCUAAAUCCAAAGAACUUUUAUAAGAAAACGAAAUUAUCUCUGUCUCUUUUGUGUAAAAGAAAUAUUGAAUUUCCUUCGUGCCUUUUCUGCUCUUCUGUGGUGACCCAUUAUUUGCUUUAUCUCAGAAUCUUUAACUUUUUCUGCAUCUUAAAAAUAUUUAAUCUUAGUAUCAAAACUAUCAUAUUUACAAGUGACAGAAUUUUAAGUUAAAUUCUGUAUUAAAAACAUAUUGUUAAUACGUCUGUUUAAAAAGAAUUAUUUGUCUUUCCUUACAGUGUUCAAUAUUAAAUCUUACAUUUUGUUAAUAUUGAGCUCCCGAGAUGAAUAUCGUUAUGUUGAAGUUUGAAUUUCUAGAAUAAUGACACCUGUAUUUUGGAAACAAUUUUAUGUGUUCAAUGACCGAAUCUCGUUUUACCGGAACCAUUUUUAUGGCAGAACUGCGACCUCUCUGGCCCUUUUUACAACUACCAACAUCGCUACUUUUGUAAGAAACUGGAGUAAAUCUUUUGUUGCUAAUGUAAAAGUUUGAAGAAAGAACAUUUUGCAAACAUGCUUUCAUUGAAACUUUUGCCUUUGAUCUCAUUUUAUUUGAACAUGUUUUUUCUUUAUGCUUCUAUAUACCACUUUACUUUAUCAUCUUCCAAUGUAUUUUUGUUGCAGUUAAAGCGACAGUUAUGUUGAUAUUGUUUCACAUUGCAUUGUAAAUGAGGCUUCUUUUUGUGCCCAAUAUAUGCUUUUCUAGAAUUUUUGUGAUAUCUGAUCUUCAGAAGAAAUUAUCUCAAAAUUUUAAUUUAGUAUCACAGCGUGGUAAACUAUCUUCUGUAUUAGAAGUAUCCAUAGCAAAAUAUGGUACAAACUCAAAAUGUGAAGGGUAAUAAGAGGUAUUUAACGGCUUAACAUUUGACGAAACUAAUCCUGAAAGUUAUUGUUCGGUUGUUUCUAAGUAAAUGUGGAAUAUUAUUUGGAAUAAAAUGGGUGGGUACAGGUGUGUAUACCUGUUUUACAUCAAUUGAACCACAAUUUGUAUUUGUUUUGCCCGAAACAAAUUUAAUUCUUAAAUUUUUAUAUAUGCCCAUAUUCCCAAAUUAAUAAAUAUGCACAUUUACCGCUUUUAUACCAAGGCACUCAAUUUGAAGUGUAAUUCAUAUUUAAUAUUAUUUAAUCCUCCUCUUAUAAUUUGGUACAAAAUCUGAUGAUCCUUUGAAGCCGUGGUUCCAGUGAUAAAAGGACAGAUUACAAUAGAAAAUAAUUUCCUUAAAAUAUUUUAACAAUCGAUUUAAUAUCAACUUCAUUAUGGACAAUCGUUGAAGGAAGACUGGUAUAAAAAUCGUUUUUAAUUGAACAAACUUCAUGGUUUACAAUAUGAAAUGUUUUAGAAACAACAAACAACUUACCUUUAUAACUCUAACGUGCGAAAUUAAUUUUUAAAGCUUUGCUCAACCCGAAAUGUUUUCGAAGUGAAACUUUUUAAACGACUCUUCCGCUUUAUUUAAGUAUAGUACGCACCAACAUUAUUUUGUUCUUAAUUCUUUUAUUGUAAAUUAUUUCUGUAAACUGCGAUAGAUAUUUUAAAAUUAAAAAUAACAAAUUAUAUAUGUAAUUAACUUAACCAAGUCUUUUAUACGUGAAAUUUGUUUUGCUUCAAUAAAAUAGGAAAAAAUUGUGUAUAUCCCUUUCCUUUCCAAGUAAAGUACCAAAACUAUCCAAUUUUCAGUACUAUAUGAAAUAGUAGAACAUUUCAAUGUUCGUUCUGAUACUUAAAAAAAAUAAUUAUACACAUUUCACUUUGGGAUAUACAACCACCCCAAACUUGAAAAUAGUAUAUUUUUUUAACCUUGGUACUAAACAGUGAGUAUUACCAUUAAAAGUUAUUAGUGACGAGCUUGCCGUAUUUGUUUUCAAAUAUGUCAUAAUUUUUGUAAUAAUAUUAACAUUUUUUCUCAUAACUUAUUAUGACGAAAGUUUUUUCAAAAUUCAGAUUUCCAAUUAUAAAAUUUCGAGUGGGGUUAACUGAAAUGCUGAGACGCUGACCGUUUUUGGAGGUUAUGUUUUUCAUUUCCAUAUUGACAAACUAGAAUUUAUUGACUAAAUGGCCCCUUUGACGUUUUUCUUGUGAUAAACGCGAUACUUACCUAAAUAUUAACAAAAACCACCUUUAGUUUGGGUGUAUAAUAAAAUAAAGCCUCUAUACGAGUAUAUAAAAUAAUAGGAAAUUUUAUUGAGAAACUUUGGUACCAUAUAAAAAAAAGAAAUUCAGGACGGGUUUUCUGUGCCAAUUCAUACUUUUCUGAGGUUCCUGUUUUUACCCUUUUACAUACUCAUUUCUCCUGUAGAGAGAAUAUCAUUUUACGUCAUCCCACUGAAUACAUAAAAUUUUUUAUAAGCUCGCACCAAUGUUCAAAAUACCUACCGGGAGUAUCGAAGAAGUCAUUAGUUUCUUGGUCGAACAUUUCUAUUUCUUGCAAGAAGAAUAUCUCCACUUUUUAUAUUAUUGUUUUAAGACUUUUCGCCUUAAUAUAAAUAAUUACCGACUUUUCAAUCGUUUUGAUACGCUUUCCGUUUAGAUAUGACUGUCUGACCACCAAAACAGUUUAAAGUUCUGAAAAUUGGUUUUUAAAGUCGUGUCGACUGUAGCUUUUGGGACUUUUUCUUUAACUGCGAAAAUAUAUUCUAAGAUAUAAAAUGAAACAAAAAUACUGGAAUAUACCUAGAUAAUCACAUCAUCUAGCAAAUUUAUCUUUUGGCAAAUUGAAAUCUCUGACCGUGUUAAUGAAAUAUUCUGUUGGAAUAAGAUGGUGUUUUUGUUGUUCCGGUGUAAGUGAAAACCUCUUAAGAAUUUACUUGUAUUAGAACUAAAAAAUGAGUUACUUUUCUGCGAUAACAUAAUUCUUUGGGUGAUUCGGGCACUGGUUGUGUCAGGUCGUGUGCAACUGUAACAGAAAAAGAUUCAAGGUGUUAAUCUUAAAAGUAGCGGUCAUUGACGUGGUAUUGCAAAUUUAUUGGACCUCUUCUUACCUAGAUACUAACCUAAAAUAUAGAUAUGAAUAUUAAUAUGUAUUUCAUAUUUGAACUUCCGCGAUAUCAUUUUAAAUUUUACUAGACUUGGACAAAACACCUUGUUUACCACUCGGGUGCUAGUUAGCGGUACUCUUUUGCAGCGGUAUUUUUCAGUUUAUCAAAAUUUAUAAAAACAUUAGUUUUAUUACUAUAACUAUCGCAAACUUUAUACCUAAAAAGGGUAUUUUCUUUUCAUUGUUUUGCAUAAUUAACCCAAAAAUUAUAAAAUAAAUAAUCCUAGGACAAGAAACAAAAUUGUAUAUCUGUAUGAUUCAGUAUGAUGUCUCGCCAUGUUGGAAAUAUUACUUCCUAACAAACGAAAAAUAUAUGAUUGAAUAUUCUUUAUUCAAUGCUAAUACUUCAUUCUCCACUGACAAAUAUCUUUGGCUAUUAUUUGGAUGAACUUUGAAACGUGGAUUCUUUUAGAUACAAUUUAUGUUAACACCAUUUUUCUUGACAAUUUCGUCAAAACUAGGUUGAUAAAUAUCAAUGUUACUUGAGAUGUAAGGAAAACACCACAUGGAUCAAAACUUUUGCAAAUCUUCAAAAUCUUUUUUUUUGUCAAAUGGAGCUUGAAAAAGGAUGAAUUUCUCGUUUUAACAUUUCUUACAUCUAUGCAAGUUUGAAGACGUCUACGCAUGUAGUUAGUAAUUAGUCGUUAGAUGGACAAUUAUUGAAAUACUUCUAAAUGGAUCCAAAAGUACUUUUUAUUUACCUGAAAAGUCUGCCCGGGCUUUUUUAAUAGAGGAUACACCAAGCUUUUAAAAACGAUCGGUCCUUUCAGUUUCAUGGUACUCAAUUACGGUCCUUGACUUCCUCAAUACUCGCUUUCGACAAUUCACCAGACAACUAGGUUGGUUCCAGAAUUCUCCUGGUAAAUUUAUAUACUUUCCCUUCCACUGGAGUCUGUGAAUUGGGUGCUCAUGUUGUAGUGGGAAAAUGCUUCAUACCGGCAUCUCAAACCACUUCUUUGUAGCAUAAGAUAUUUCAAUUCCUAAGUCCAGUCUCAUACGUCUGUGAAGUUCCACCACUAGUAUGGUACAAAAAUAUUUUUUUUGUAUGAAGUGUGUCCCCACUUGUAAAUCAAAUAUCAUAUCAGCAAGUCAGAACAUGUAGUGUGUAAAAGUCAAAUAGAAUACAUUUCAUUAUUUUGAUUGCUGUAUAUAUUUGUGAACAUUCACGAAAAACAUUAAAUUUAAAUUAUAAACUGAUAUUAUUUAACGUAAAAACGAGAUUCCUACCUUCCCCUUUUCGAAUGGCAGGUACAACCCUAAUUUUUUAAAUCAUUGUGAUAUAGCGUUCCAUUCUGUAUUCAAAGAAAUUAUCAUUUUGAAGUAUAUCAUAGUAAAGAUGUAACAUGUAAAAGAAUCUAAAACAUUUGAAAGAACUAUGAAUGUCAAUGAAGUAGUGUUCCAAAAAUUUACCUCAAAUUCCUUGGAAAUAUUUUAAAUUGUCUUCUAACCUUAUUCAACAUAUAAAGCGUAAUGUUAGAUCAGGUGAUGGCCAUUCUAUCGAUCCUUGCCUCUGUCUCCACGUUUGGGAAAUAUACCAUUGAGAUACUGCCGAACCUUUCUUUGGUAAUGUGAUGGUGCUCUAUCUUGCUGAAACCAUGUCGCAUUCACUGGAAAUAUCGUUUCGUUUCCAACAAUCCCUACAUACACAUUAACCCUUCGAGAAUAUUGCUUUUGUCCUUUUCUCAUUCAAUGAGGAUUUGGAUUGAUUGGAAGCGGCCAUUUUGGUAGUUAUAAAACUUGUCGAUCGUUCACUCACAAAUAUAAAUUCUCCAAUCAAAAUCGUUUUUCAUGAACUCCUAAGUAGGGAAAUUUUAUAGGGAUACAUUUUUUUCUUUUAAUACGUUUACUAUCGAUGUAGUGAAUGCCUGUCUACUUGAUGUACGUGGGAUUUUCCUCAAGCAUCAAACACAUCUGUUUUGACUUUAUCACUCAGCUCAUUGGCAGCUGCUUUUUUAGUCAGCUUUACACGGCCAGACUCACGAAACUGCUUCUCUAUUCUACUAAUAAUUCCUUGGAAUAUAAGAGUUAAAUCAGGAAAACAAGUUAAUUCCUGCUAUGUUCGGCUUCACAAUUUCAAAUUAUGAUUAUAAUACUGACAACUUAUAAUUACAAAACAAUUUGCUGAAGUGUAUUAAACAAACUAAUAUUGCCAUAGAAACACUUCGAAGUAUGAAUUUUAAAAAUCUGAGUAUAUUAUAGUAAAUUUAUAAUUGGUGCCAGAAACUUGAAAACAAUUUUUGAAUAGAUAAUGAAGAUACCUUUCAAACUAUACUUCCCAUUUUUACCUGUCAUUCGAUGAGAGUUGAAGAUGACAUGUUUAGGAAUUGUUCAUAAAUAUGUACAGUAGCCCAAUUUAUGAAUUUAUUCCAUUUGGCUUUUUCAUAUUUUAUUACGGAAAUACCUGACCUCAAAGUACAGUAUGUUCUUCACUAAUGACUUUCGUUUUAUGAAAACUCUACCCGAUCGCUCGUUGUGAAAAAUAUUUCUUGAAGUGUGCUUUCUAUUUGAAAUAUACUGAAAUAUGAAAAACGAAGUAUUUGGAUAGAAAAAAUGUUCCUGCAGUUAAUUGAGGAAUGUAAUUGUCAGUUUCUAUAUAUGGAAUCGCGCGAUUGGUCCCCCUCAAACUAUGUAAAAUAUAUUUAACACUAUGAAUCUUGUAGAUAUAUUAAAAAAUAUAUUGUUAAAUCUCUAUUGUUUUUUUUUCUUGAAAGGGUUAAAUUAAUGUAGAUAAUUUAGAGCAGAGUGUUUUGUGUUGUAUAUAAAAAUAUAUUAUAUAUGUCUGAAGUAAAUAUAGCUUAGAUUUUAUUUAGGUACGUUUCCAUGCCAUAUACUUUUUUUAUGUGUUAGAUAACAUAAAAAGCUCUGCUUCUAAGAAUACAACUGUGACCUAAUUUUUAUUUUGUUGUUAAAUAUUUUUGAUUAUUGUGAAUGUAAUAGUAAAUCAGUACAUUUUUAACUUUCAUAAGACUUACUUAAGCAGUUAUCAGUGUACGCAUAUGAGUGCGUCAAUAAAUAUUCUCAUUUUGA